rnacentral:rRNA from 1 species
AGCGAACGCUGGCGGCAGGCUUAACACAUGCAAGUCGAACGCCCCGCAAGGGGAGUGGCAGACGGGUGAGUAACACGUGGGAACGUACCCUUUGGUUCGGAAUAACUUGGGGAAACUCAAGCUAAUACCGGAUAAGCCCUUAUGGGGAAAGGUUUACUGCCGAAGGAUCGGCCCGCGUCUGAUUAGCUAGUUGGUGAGGUAACGGCUCACCAAGGCGACGAUCAGUAGCUCGUCUGAGAGGAUGAUCAGCCACACUGGGACUGAGACACGGCCCAGGCUCCUACGGGAGGCAGCAGUGGGGAAUAUUGGACAAUGGGGGCAACCCUGAUCCAGCCAUGCCGCGUGAGUGAUGAAGGCCUUAGGGUUGUAAAGCUCUUUUACCCGGGACGAUAAUGACUGGACCGGGAGAAUAAGCCCCGGCUAACUUCGUGCCAGCCGCCGCAGUAA